AGAAGAAGGAGAAGGAUCGUAGCUUAGAAACGAGAGAAAGCAGAGACUUUAUCUCCGGAUUCACACCAUAACCCCUGGGUUUCUUACGGCUGUUUCUCUGUCAUUAAGGUGAGAGUUAUCACGAUGCCGGGGGAACACGGUGACCAGUUCAAACAGGGAGACCUGGUGUUCGCCAAGAUGAAGGGGUUCCCCCACUGGCCUGCCAGGGUGUGUCCGUUUGUCGGCGGUGGAAGAAAUAAGAGAAUCCCAGUCUACUUCUU